GAUGAAGAACGUAGCGAAAUGCGAUAAGUAGUGUGAAUUGCAGAAUUCAGUGAAUCAUCGAAUCUUUGAACGCACAUUGCGCCCGCCAGUAUUCUGGCGGGCAUGCCUGUCCGAGCGUCAUUUCAACCCUCGAACCCCUCCGGGGGGUCGGCGUUGGGGAUCGGCCCUUUACGGGGCCGGCCCCGAAAUACAGUGGCGGUCUCGCCGCAGCCUCUCCUGCGCAGUAGUUUGCACACUCGCAUCGGGAGCGCGGCGCGUCCACAGCCGUUAAACACCCCAAACUUCUGAAAUGUUGACCUCGGAUCAGGUAGGAAUACCCGCUGAACUUAAGCAUAUCAAUAAGCGGAGGA
rnacentral:misc_RNA from 1 species